rnacentral:rRNA from 1 species
AGAACGAACGCUGGCGGCAGGCUUAACACAUGCAAGUCGAACGCGUGUAGCAAUACACGAGUGGCGCACGGGUGAGUAACGCGUGGAUAUCUGCCUUUUGGUUCGGAAUAACCCCGGGAAACUGGGGCUAAUACCGGAUGGUUCCUACGGGAUAAAGAUUUAUCGCCAAAAGAUGAGUCCGCGUCCGAUUAGCUAGUUGGUGGGGUAAUGGCCUACCAAGGCGACGAUCGGUAGCUGGUCUGAGAGGACGAUCAGCCACACUGGGACUGAGACACGGCCCAGACUCCUACGGGAGGCAGCAGUGGGGAAUAUUGGACAAUGGGGGCAACCCUGAUCCAGCCAUGCCGCGUGAGUGAUGAAGGCCUUCGGGUUGUAAAGCUCUUUUGGCGGGGUACGAUGAUGACGGUACCCGCAGAAUAAGCCCGGCUAACUUCGUGCCAGCAGCCGC